rnacentral:tRNA from 1 species
AGGGUUAUAGCUCAAGUGGUAGAGUGCAUGUUUAAUAUGUGUGAGGUCCUGGGUUCAAUUCCUGGUACCCCUU